rnacentral:lncRNA from 1 species
UCGAACCACCGCCUCAAGUACCUCGAUAAUCGAUAUUCUCUCAAAUCCCUUUUCAUCUUUCUUUAGAGCUCGAUCGAUCGACAUGGCCUCGAUGGAAAAAAUGAGAACGUGCCCACCGGAAAAGGUAGCGGUCGUAGGAAAGGACUGCUGAAGAUACAAACACAGAAGAGACAUAACACGAUUUGUCUCGCUUUUCAAUCUCUCAUUUGCUGCGUAAUCUGCUUUAACCAAAGAGACGCUCCAUCGUCAAUGACGGCGUGUUGAUUCCUCAGUGUAUCCGACUCUCCAUUGUUCUCUCUCACCGUUACCGUCGACUUUACCUCAAGUGUUUUCGAGUUGUUGAGUUAGGCUUCCACAAAUACGCUCUGCGUUGUCUCUUUGCUCCUACUAACACUUUGAACUAAGGUAUUGUUACAGUUCUAUUUUCUCCUCUGUCCAUAGGGUCGUAUUCUCCAAUUUGCAAUGAACACGAAGGCACAAUCCGAUUUGGGUAUAACCACAGCCUAUAUGAACCCUAAUUUUUUAUUUUCGUUAUCUUACCCCUACUUGCUUCUAUGUUCUUGAUUUUGGAGUCGACCAAGACCGACCCUACCAGAAGAGUCGGUAUUGGAUUUGAUUUUGGGUGUUGAAGGCUUAAUUUGGGGUUUUUCAACACAUGUCUUAAACAUAAGCAGAUGGAAACCUGUCUUUGGACAAAAGAGGUAAACUUUGAACAUUUGUUUGAUUAAUCUUAUAGUUUUUAUGAUUUAUACAAUUUCAUUAUGUUCUAUGUUCUCAGCUCCAUUGGCAAAUCACCCCGGUUAGUUCAUUUGGAUGAUAAUUAAAAAAAAUAUGUUUUCAUAUGCUUUUAUUUGAGCUGAUAACAUAGUUAAGUAAAUAUCAUGACUAAUAACGAAAUUCGAUUUUGUUCACAUCUUCCACCGUAUUGUAAUCUGAAAAAUAGCUUCUUUUUAUUAUGCAUUAAUUGGAUUUCUUGUACCAAAACACCCUUAUCUUUUGGAUUGGACUAGAUGUAACGCCCGGGUUUUCAGGGCUAAGCAUUUUUGUCAAUGUAAUAGUCUAGGUCAACUAUUGUAACUCUUUUUGAAGUAAUAAAUAUAAAAUAUUUGAGUAUUAUGUGUGUUUAUGUGUUUAUUAUUUAAUUAUAAAUGUAUAAUUAAUAAAGAAUAAAAAUGAGCGUCAAAAUUAAAGUGUGAGAUAAUCCUGAUAUCUCUACAUAAAGUUGUAGAAUACGUCUCAAGGUUUCCGUACAUAUAAAGAAUGCCGAAAUCCGAGCUAUAACGAAGAAGUUAUGGCCCGCCGAAGUUUUA